rfam:Pediococcus pentosaceus ATCC 25745, complete genome.
AAUUAAAAAAGAGGUUGCGGAGAUUAAAAGUACCUGAGGAUAGAAUGAAGGAUUCGAUAUGCCCCAGCGAAAGGAUGAUCCGCCGAAAUGAACAUUGACCUUUCUCAAUGUUUGUUGGGUCUUGAGAUAACAUCUCAAGGACUGUCGCUAUCAUGACUGAUAGCGGGGUGCUUUUCAAAUC